CCGAGUUCAUGCCCCCUAGGGGUAGAUCUCCCACCCUUUGUGUAUCUUAACCUUUGUUGCUUUGGCAGGCCGCUGGGCUGCAAGCCUGGCCACCGGCUCCCUGGGGCUGGUGUGCGCCUGCCAGAGGACCCCCAAACUCUGUUUGUCAGUGUUGUCUGAGUACCAUUGCAAAUCGUUA
rnacentral:misc_RNA from 1 species